UACGUAGGGUGCAAGCGUUGUCCGGAAUUAUUGGGCGUACAGAGCUCGUAGGCGGUUUGUCGCGUCUGCUGUGAAAACUCGGGGCUUAACUCCGGGCCUGCAGUGGGUACGGGCAGACUAGAGUGCGGUAGGGGAGACUGGAAUUCCUGGUGUAGCGGUGAAAUGCGCAGAUAUCAGGAGGAACACCGGUGGCGAAGGCGGGACUCUGGGCCGAUACUGACGCUGAGGAGCGAAAGCGUGGGGAGCAAACAGG
rnacentral:rRNA from 1 species